AUAUAGACAGGAGAAGAAUACAGUUCCCGAUGGUCUCUCGGCCUCUUUUCAACAGCAGUAAAGAAGACAACUUAUCUUCUUUCUACCAUGAAUUGUGAUCCUUCAGCAUUGAUAAUGCACAGACAGGAUCACUCAAGGCAGACUACAGGUGCUCUCAUAUGUAACAGCAACUCCAUGUGGACUACACUGACUUCCAGUGGAGAUGCUGUUACUUUUGAUAGUGGCUCAAAGACUCCGGAUCAGCUGCUACUGGAAUUACAUCUAUCCAGCAUUCAACAUGUGAAAACAGCCUGAGUUUUGAAAUGUAAGUUAUUAUUUAUUGCUGUAUAAACGAUAUUGAAUUAUUUGCACUGAUAAACUUCUCAAGAGGUGGAAAUAUGUCAGCAGCCUAUUUUCAACAUGACAAUGCAAAUGCAAUGAAAUAUUUAGGCUUCUGUACUUACUUCAGUAAGAACUGGUGUCCAGGAAAAUGACCUAUGAAUUGACAGACUGCUUUCAAAAUGUGCCUGUCAUUUCUAUAGGCCAAUAUUCUGUGCACUUUUCCUACUUUGGCUGCCAAAGUCUGCUAUUAAAAGUCUGUUUUCAAUCUUUAAUGAGAGCUUCCUAUUUUACUUUGAACACUUCACCUCUACUGUAAAACAUUUUAGGAGUAAGGAGAACUGAGCAUCAGAAGCUGUCAACUGAAUUAAAUAAAUCUAAUUUUGCAAGCA